UCUCAGAGUUUGAUCCUGGCUCAGGAUGAACGCUGGCGGCGUGCUUAACACAUGCAAGUCGAACGGUGAAGCUCAGCUUGCUGGGUGGAUCAGUGGCGAACGGGUGAGUAACACGUGAGCAAUCUGCCCCUGACUCUGGGAUAAGCGCUGGAAACGGCGUCUAAUACUGGAUACGAACCGUGGAGGCAUCUUCAACGGUUGGAAAGAUUUUUUGGUCAGGGAUGAGCUCGCGGCCUAUCAGCUCGUUGGUGAGGUAAUGGCUCACCAAGGCGUCGACGGGUAGCCGGCCUGAGAGGGUGACCGGCCACACUGGGACUGAGACACGGCCCAGACUCCUACGUGAGGCAGCAGUGGGGAAUAUUGCACAAUGGGCGAAAGCCUGAUGCAGCAACGCCGCGUGAGGGAUGACGGCCUUCGGGUUGUAAACCUCUUUUAGCAGGGAAGAAGCGAAAGUGACGGUACCUGCAGAAAAAGCGCCGGCUAACUACGUGCCAGCAGCCGCGGUAAUACGUAGGGCGCAAGCGUUAUCCGGAAUUAUUGGGCGUAAAGAGCUCGUAGGCGGUUUGUCGCGUCUGCUGUGAAAUCCCGAGGCUCAACUUCGGGUCUGCAGUGGGUACGGGCAGACUAGAGUGCGGUAGGGAGAUUGGAAUUCCUGGUGUGGCGGUGGAAUGCGCAGAUAUCAGGAGGACACCGAUGGCGAAGGCAGAU
rnacentral:rRNA from 1 species